AGAUACCCCAAUAUGCCUAGCCGUAAAAAUUUAAAUCACACCAACCAGCGCCAGGGUACUACGAGCUUUAGCUUAAAACCCAAAGGACUUGACGGUGUCCCACCCAACUAGAGGAGCCUGUUCUGUAAUCGAUGAUCCACGAUAUACCUAACCAUUUCUUGCUAAUCAGUCUGUAUACCUCCGUCGUAAGCUUACCGUGUGAACGCACAAUAAGUAGGCCCAAGGGCUUUAACGCCAUAACGUCAGGUCAAGGUGCAGCUCAUGAAAUGGAAGCUAUGGGCUACAAUUUCUAAUUUAGAACAAACGAAUUACUGCAUGAAACACAGUCAUGAAGGAGGAUUUAGCAGUAAGUAGGAAAUAGAGAGUCCUACUAAACUUGGCCCUGGGACGUGUACAAACCGCCCGUCACCCUCUUCAAUAGCCCACCCCACAGUCCCUAACACCAUCCCGCGUCUUAGAAGAGGCAAGUCGUAACACGGUAAGUAUACUGGAAAGUGUACUUGGAACAACAAAAUGUAGCUUAACAAAAGCCUUUCGCUUACACCGAAAAAACGUUUGUGUGACCCAAACCAUUUUGAAACCAAAAAUCUAGCCUAUAGCAAUAUUAUGGCCUCCAUUUCUACAUAUUAAUUCUAUAAAACAUUUUAGCUUUCUAGUAGAGGUGAUCAAACAACAUAUAAGCGCUUAAGAAAUAGUACCGAAAGGGAAAGAUGAAAUAAAAAUUAAAUAAUUUUAAAGUUAACUAAAGCAGAGAUUCAAGCUCGUACCUUUUGCAUCAUGGUCCAGCCAGUCUGACCAAGCAAAAAUCUUUUAGUUUGGAACCCCGAAACUAAGCGAGCUACUUCAAAACAGCUUCAAGAGCCAACCCGUCUCUGUGGCAAUAGAGUGGGAAGAUUUUCAAGUAGAAGUGAAAAGCCAAACGAGCUUAGAGAUAGCUGGUUGUUCAGGAAAAGAAUAUUAGUUCUGCCUUAAAUUUUUUUAUGUAUUUAAACAGACCUAAAAAUUUAAGAGUUAUUCAACUAAGGCACAGCUUACUUGAAACAGGGUACAACCUAUACAUUAGGGUAAACUUCUAAAUAUUAUCCCAAGUGGGCCUAAGAGCAGCCAUCUUUUAAAAAGCGUUAUAGCUUUAGCCAAUUUAAUUUGCAAAUUUCAUAAAUUUACAUGAACCCACACCCGAUACUGAACGACCCCAUAAGAAUAUGGGAAACACUAUGCUGGAACUAGUAACAAGAAUUUAACAUUCUCCACAAUGCAAGCAUAAGCCAAAAUAGAUUAACUAUUGGCUAUUAACGAAAAUGAACAAAUUACAGCAACACAACAAGAAAACCCUGUAUACCCUUCUCGUUAACCUAACACCAGAGCACUUUCGGAAAGAUUAAAAGAGAAAGAAGGAACUCGGCAAAUUUUAACCCCGCCUGUUUACCAAAAACAUCGCCUCUUGACAACUAUAAGAGGUCCAGCCUGCCCAGUGAUAAAUUCAACGGCCGCGGUAUCCUAACCGCGCGAAGGUAGCAUAAUCACUUGUUCUUUAAAUAGGGACUUGUAUCAACGGCAUCACGAGGGUUACACUGUCUCCUCUCUCCAAUCAGUGAAACUGAUCUCCCCGUGAAGAAGCGGGGAUAGACUAAUAAGACGAGAAGACCCCAUGGAGCUUUAAACCCACAGCAACUCUAACACCUUAUCCCUCAUAACCAGUAGAGACAUGCACGUCGGCUUUAGGUUGGGGUGACCGCGGAGUAAAACCAACCCUCCACGACGAAAAGAACUAAAUCUUUAUCUAAGAGUGACCACUCUAAGAAUUAGCAUACUAACGAACAAUGACCCGAUAAUCGAUCAACGGACCAAGUUACCCUGGGGAUAACAGCGCAAUCUACUUCAAGAGCCCGUAUCAACAAGUAGGCUUACGACCUCGAUGUUGGAUCAGGGUACCCCGGUGGUGCAGCCGCUACUAAAGGUUCGU
rnacentral:misc_RNA from 1 species